rnacentral:rRNA from 1 species
AAAUGGAAAGCCGCGUGCAAGCGAGGUACCGGACUGGUAGGAAAAACCGCCAGCCAACGGGAAGACGUGAUGCGGACCGAAAUUUAGUAGGGAAGUGUGUGAGCCAGCUGUCAAGAAAAGCCGCUAUUGUGUAUACAGUACCCGUACCGUAAACCGACACAGGUGGAUGAGGAGAGAAUCCUAAGGCCGGCGGAAGAAGUAUUGUCAAGGAACACGGCAAAAUGACCCUGUAACUUCGGGAGAAAGGGUGCCUCGAAAGAGGCCGCAGAGAAUUGGCCCAAGCAACUGUUUAGCAAAAACACAGGUCUAUGCGAAACCGAAAGGUGAGGUAUAUGGGCUGACGCCUGCCCGGUGCUGGAAGGUUAAGGGGAGAUGUUAGAGCAAUCGAAGCAUCGAACUUAAGCCCCAGUAAACGGCGGCCGUAACUAUAACGGUCCUAAGGUAGCGAAAUUCCUUGUCGGGUAAGUUCCGACCCGCACGAAAGGCGUAAUGAUUUGGGCGCUGUCUCGACAAUACAUCCGGUGAAAUUGAAGUACCAGUGAAGAUGCUGGUUACCCGCGCCAGGACGGAAAGACCCCAUGGAGCUUUACUCCAGCUUGAUACUGGGAUUCGGUAUUGCAUGUACAGGAUAGGUGGGAGGCUAAGAAGCAUGGACGCCAGUCUAUGUGGAGCCGCUGUUGGGAUACCACCCUUGCGGUAUUGGAUUUCUAACCAGCCGCCGUGAAACCGGCGGUGGGACAAUGUCAGGCGGGGAGUUUGACUGGGGCGGUCGCCUCCGAAAGGGUAUCGGAGGCGCCCAAAGGUUCCCUCAGAAUGGUUGGAAACCAUUCGAAGAGUGCAAAGGCAGAAGGGAGCUUGACUGUAACACCGACGGGUGGAGCAGGUACGAAAGUAGGGCUUAGUGAUCCGGUGGUAUUAAGUGGGAAUGCCAUCGCUCAACGGAUAAAAGCUACCCUGGGAUAACAGGCUUAUCACUCCCAAGAGUUCACAUCGACGGAGUGGUUUGGCACCUCGAUGUCGGCUCAUCGCAUCCUGGGGCUGUAGUAGGUCCCAAGGGUUGGGCUGUUCGCCCAUUAAAGCGGUACGCGAGCUGGGUUCAGAACGUCGUGAGACAGUUCGGUCCCUAUCCGGCGUGGGCGCAGGAUAUUUGAGAGGAGCUGUCCUUAGUACGAGAGGACCGGGAUGGACUGACCUCUGGUGCACCGGUUGUUCCGCCAGGAGCAUAGCCGGGUAGCCAAGUCGGGAAGGGAUAAACGCUGAAGGCAUCUAAGCGUGAAGCCCCCCUCAAGAUGAGAUAUCCCAUGCGAAAGCGAUAAGACCCCUUGAAGACGACGAGGUAGAUAGGUCAGAGGUGGAAGUGCAGUAAUGCAUGGAGCUGACUGAUACUAAUAGGUCGAAGGCUUAACC